rnacentral:rRNA from 1 species
UAACACGUGGGGUAACCCUGCCCAUAAGAGGGGGGAGUAACAUCCGGAAACGGGUGGCUAAUACCGCAUAGUUUUCUUGAUCGCAUGAUCGGGAAAGGAAAGACGGCCUUUGUGCUGUCGCUUAUGGAUGGACCCGCGGCGUAUUAGUUAGUUGGUGAGGUAACGGCUCACCAAGACGAUGAUACGUAGCCGACCUGAGAGGGUGAUCGGCCACAUUGGGACUGAGACACGGCCCAAACUCCUACGGGAGGCAGCAGUAGGGAAUCUUCCGCAAUGGACGAAAGUCUGACGGAGCAACGCCGCGUGAGUGAAGAAAAGGUUUUCGGAUCGUAAAACUCUGUUGUCAGAGAAGAACAAGUUGGAGAGUAACUGCUCCAGCCUUGACGGUAUCUGACCAGAAAGCCGCGGCUAACUACGUGCCAGCCGCCGC